rnacentral:sRNA from 1 species
CGCCCACCCUAUCGCGACUAACGCUCCCCGGGACUUGAUGUAUUGUACUUUGAGUGCAAAUAUUGUGCCGCUGUCGACGCCAGCUCGGCGUGCUGCUUCGAAAAUCAAAUUCCAAUUGCAACGCUGCGUAUACGCAUCGCAAUUUUUGGACCAGACCAGGUUGUUGGCCCGUCCUAAACCCCAGACUGCCGGCCAUGGCUUCAUCUCCCGUUGUAACGCCUGCAAUUCGCGUUAUUUGCCUUCACAAUUUCGGGUGUUUAUUGUUGCUCUGGCUGAAGUCGUUGUUUGUCGUUUUUAUGGGGCCGGAAUGCUCUCGGAUGGUGAUUAGUCAAUGUCCCUGGCUCUGGUAUGGUUCCGUAUCUCUCCAGACCCUGACCCUGGUUCUGGUAUCCUCUAGCCCUGGCCUGGUUCUCGCUCUCCUUAUUUAUUUGUCCUGUUGCAGUAAUCAGCCUGGCACGCAGGCAGGCAGGCAGGCAGGCAAUCAUCCACGUUCUUAUUUGCCUUGGCACAAAUCCCCCCCCAGCCAUUUGACUGCUCUAAGGGGCAAUAUUUGUUUAAUUUGCAAAAACCCCUUCGUUUUCCAGUUAAUAAAAAUGACAAUGAAGCUAU